rnacentral:ncRNA from 1 species
UUUUAAGCGAAGAAGAGGACAUGAAUUAUUCUUUCAUUUCUUAUCAGAGAACAGGGUCAUUGGCUGAGAACCCUGAAGAAAGAAGAAUGAUUUACCACCUUGGAGCUAUUAUGGAGAAAGUAAAACCAUAAUCGGGAAACCGUUAUCUUCUAUGAGCGCAAUACUUUUUGUGUUGCAAAAUUAGGGUGGAACCACGACCACACUCGUCCCUUUA